rnacentral:misc_RNA from 1 species
AAGUCGUAACAAGGUUUCCGUAGGUGAACCUGCGGAAGGAUCAUUAUCGAAUAAAUCUGGCGUGGUUGUAGCUGGCUUCUCGAAGCAUGUGCACACCCGUCACCUUUAUCUUUCCACCUGUGAACCCUUUGUAGUCCCAGGAUAACACUCGCACUCGUGCGGAUGCGAAGGUUGUUGUGCCUCUCUGGAGGUCGACUUCCCUCGAAUUUCCUGGGUCUAUGUCUCUUUACACACCCCUGUAUGUUAAACAGAAUGUCGAUUUCAAAGGGCUUUAAUGCCUAUAGAAACUCAAUACAACUUUCAGCAACGGAUCUCUUGGCUCUC